rnacentral:lncRNA from 1 species
GGUUUCUUCCCGCCCAUAACAUUUUGUUUUCCUUCUAGGAUAAAUAACCAUCAAACCAAAUCCCAGUCUUUCCUUUCUGGUAAUGAACCUUGUAGUACAAUUUUAGAGAGGUCCAUACACUUGAACACAAGAUAUUGUCUGGAAACUAGAAAAAUGUUUGUUUUGCCAUUUCUUUUGCCCCUAAUUUCUGCAUGUUUGGGGCAAUUAUCCCCGAACCAAAUCCCAGUCUUCCUUUGUGAUAAUGCGAAAAAGAUCCAAAAACGUACAAACAAGUAAUUAUCCGGAAACUACAAACAUGAUUGUUUUUUGUCCCUUUUUGUUCCUUCAUUCCUAAACUGUUAGUACCAUAACCCCAAAAUGAAACCUAACAUUCUACUUGUGGUAUUGAACACUGUGGUACAAUUUCAGAACAAUCAAAAUUCUUAUACACAAGUAAUUAUCCUGAAACUAAAAACAUGCUUCUUUUAUGCCCCUUUUUCGUAAACGGUUGGAACCAUCAUCCCCAACAUUAUCCCAACCUUCCUUUUGUGGUAUUGAACCUUCUUUAAAAUUUAUAUAGAUCCAUUCACUUAAAUUAAAGUUGAUCGGAAACCAAAUGGGUCUUCGGACGACGCAGACGAUAACGACAUCAUAGCAAUAUACGAACCGG